rnacentral:rRNA from 1 species
UACGUAGGGGCCUAGCGUUGUCCGGAAUUAUUGGGCGUAAAGAGCUCGUAGGCGGUUCGGCAAGUCGGAUGUGAAAUCUCCACGCUCAACGUGGAGGGGCCAUUCGAAACUGCCGUGACUCGAGUCCGGUAGGGGAGUGUGGAAUUCCCGGUGUAGCGGUGAAAUGCGCAGAUAUCGGGAGGAACACCGGUGGCGAAGGCGGCAUUCUGGACUGUAACUGACACUGAGGAACGAAAGCCAGGGGAGCAAACGGG